rnacentral:rRNA from 1 species
GACGAACGCUGGCGGUGUGCUUAACACAUGCAAGUCGAACGGUAAGGCCCUUUCGGGGGUACACGAGUGGCGAACGGGUGCGUAACACGUGAGUAACCUGCCCUCAUCUCUGGGAUAACAGUCGGAAACGGUUGCUAAUACUGGAGAUGAGCUUGCAAGGCAUCUUGUGGGUUGGAAAGAUUUUUUUUGGUUGGGGAUGGACUCGCGGCCUAUCAGCUUGUUGGUGAGGUAGUGGCUCACCAAGGCUUCGACGGGUAGCCGGCCUGAGAGGGCGACCGGCCACAUUGGGACUGAGAUACGGCCCAAACUCCUACGGGAGGCAGCAGUGGGGAAUAUUGCACAAUGGACGGAAGUCUGAUGCAGCAACGCCGCGUGCGGGAUGACGGCCUUCGGGUUGUAAACCGCUUUCAAUUGUGACGAAGCUUUUUUGUGACGGUAGCAGUAGAAGAAGCACCGGCUAACUACGUG